UGCAGUCGAGCGCGGGAAGCGAGUGGAUCCCUUCGGGGUGAAGCUCGUGGAACGAGCGGCGGACGGGUGAGUAACACGUGGGCAACCUGCCUGUAAGAUCGGAAUAACCCCGGGAAACCGGGGCUAAUGCCGGGUAAUACUUUUCUUCGCAUGAAGAUGAGUUGAAAGAUGGCUUCUCGCUAUCACUUACAGAUGGGCCCGCGGCGCAUUAGCUAGUUGGUGAGGUAACGGCUCACCAAGGCAACGAUGCGUAGCCGACCUGAGAGGGUGAUCGGCCACACUGGGACUGAGACACGGCCCAGACUCCUACGGGAGGCAGCAGUAGGGAAUCUUCCGCAAUGGACGAAAGUCUGACGGAGCAACGCCGCGUGAACGAUGAAGGUCUUCGGAUCGUAAAGUUCUGUUGUCAGGGAAGAACAAGUACCGUGCGAAUAGAGCGGUACCUUGACGGUACCUGACGAGGAAGCCCCGGCUAACUACGUGCCAGCAGCCGCGGUAAUACGUAGGGGGCAAGCGUUGUCCGGAAUUAUUGGGCGUAAAGCGCGCGCAGGCGGUUCCUUAAGUCUGAUGUGAAAGCCCACGGCUCAACCGUGGAGGGUCAUUGGAAACUGGGGAACUUGAGGACAGAAGAGGAGAGUGGAAUUCCACGUGUAGCGGUGAAAUGCGUAGAUAUGUGGAGGAACACCAGUGGCGAAGGCGACUCUCUGGUCUGUUUCUGACGCUGAGGUGCGAAAGCGUGGGUAGCAAACAGGAUUAGAUACCCUGGUAGUCCACGCCGUAAACGAUGAGUGCUAGGUGUUAGGGGGCUUCCACCCCUUAGUGCUGAAGUUAACGCAUUAAGCACUCCGCCUGGGGAGUACGGCCGCAAGGCUGAAACUCAAAGGAAUUGAC
rnacentral:rRNA from 1 species